AGUUUACCGAAGCUGUGGAGUGCACCAUCAGGUGCAUUGGUAGGAGAGCGUUCUAAGGGCGUUGAAGGCAGAUCGUGAGGACUGCUGGAGCGCUUAGAAGUGAGAAUGCCGGUAUGAGUAGCGAAAGACAGGUGAGAAUCCUGUCCACCGAAUGACUAAGGUUUCCUGGGGAAGGCUCGUCCGCCCAGGGUUAGUCGGGACCUAAGCCGAGGCCGACAGGCGUAGGCGAUGGACAACAGGUUGAUAUUCCUGUACCCGUUGUUUUUGUUUGAGCAAUGGAGGGACGCAGGAGGCUAAGAAGUGCAGACUGAUGGAUAUGUCUGUUCAAGCAGUAAGUCUUGGUAGGAGUCAAAUGCUUCUACCUAUACGGACAAGCUGUGAUGAGGAGGGAAAUAAUAGUACCGAAGCUUCUGAUGUCACACUGCCAAGAAAAGCUUCUAGUGAGAAAACAACGGCCCGUACCGCAAACCGACACAGGUAGUCGAGGAGAGAAUCCUAAGGUGAGCGAGAGAACUCUCGUUAAGGAACUCGGCAAAAUGACCCCGUAACUUCGGGAGAAGGGGUGCUGCUCUAACGAGCAGCCGCAGUGAAUAGGCCCAAGCGACUGUUUAUCAAAAACACAGGUCUCUGCAAAAUCGAAAGAUGACGUAUAGGGGCUGACGCCUGCCCGGUGCUGGAAGGUUAAGAGGAGUGCUUAGCGUA
rnacentral:rRNA from 1 species